UACGUAGGGACCAAGCGUUGUUCGGAUUUACUGGGCGUAAAGGGCGCGUAGGCGGCAAAUCAAGUCAUCUGUGAAAUCUCCGGGCUUAACUCGGAACGGUCAGAUGAUACUGCUUUGCUAGAGUGCGGGAAGGGGCAAUCGGAAUUCUCGGUGUAGCGGUGAAAUGCGUAGAUAUCGAGAGGAACACCAGAGGUGAAGACGGGUUGCUGGGCCGACACUGACGCUGAGGCGCGAAAGCCAGGGGAGCAAACGGG
rnacentral:rRNA from 1 species